AGUGAACGCUGGCGGUAGGCCUAACACAUGCAAGUCGAACGGCAGCACAGUAAGAGCUUGCUCUUACGGGUGGCGAGUGGCGGACGGGUGAGGAAUACACCGGAAUCUACUUUUUCGUGGGGGAUAACGUAGGGAAACUUACGCUAAUACCGCAUACGACCUACGGGUGAAAGCAGGGGAUCUUCGGACCUUGCGCGAUCGAAUGAGCCGAUGUCGGAUUAGCUGGUUGGCGGGGUAAAGGCCCACCAAGGCGACGAUCCGUAGCUGGUCUGAGAGGAUGAUCAGCCACACUGGAACUGAAACACGGUCCAGACUCCUACGGGAGGCAGCAGUGGGGAAUAUUGGACAAUGGGCGCAAGCCUGAUCCGGCCAUACCGCGUGGGUGAAGAAGGCCUUCGGGUUGUAAAGCCCUUUUGUUGGGAAAGAAAAGCAGCGGGUUAAUACCCCGCUGUUCUGACGGUACCCAAAGAAUAAGCACCGGCUAACUUCGUG
rnacentral:rRNA from 1 species